CUUGCUUAUUCAUCUCCGACAAAGCCGUUUCCUCUCCGACAAAGUCGUUUCCUCUCCUACAACCAUCGCAGUUACACGUUUUCUCCUCCUUCUUUGUUGAAAAACGAAAGUCUCCUUCAAGAUAUGGCUACAAGUUGGUUUAUCUGAACGAGGAAGGGGCCAUGGACGAGGAAGGGGUCGUGGACGAGGAAGGGUAGAACCACAAGUAAGUGCAAGAAAGUUAAACUUUGAUGACAUUGACUUUGAUGAGGAGCAUAGUGAAAGUGAUUCUAAAUAUACCUGUCAAAGUGAUGAAGAGCCAUCCCCCGAGAAAAAAGAGGUUCCUAAAAGAGCCAAGGUGGUUGCUAAUGUGUAAAGAGAUAAUACUAGCACUAAGGGGGGUAUGACGAAGGCCGCUAACACGGUUAUUCAAACACGCUCUCAGGAGAUGAAUAAAAAGCCUCCUAAUCAGAACUGUGCUGUUGAGGCCCUUGGAAGGAUAUUAGGAGGGUUCGAUGGUAGGAAAAGGAAGUUAGUUAAGGAGAUGUGGCUAUGUACAAGGGUAGAUGUGGCUCUCAAGUCUUUUAUGUCUCCAGACGGGGUCCAGUUUCCUCUAAACCCCAUUCAAGUCCAUUGGGUUCUUGGGAUUCCAAUGGGACCGAGACCGGUCCCUACUAAAACUGUGGAUGAGAAUCUUGAAAAAUAGCUUAUUACUAAGUACCGGACUGUACACACGAAAGGUGGUGGCAUAACCAAAAAGACUUUGAUGGAAUAUGUCGAGGGUCCCUAUGAAGAUGAUAACAAGUUCAAGAGACUCCUUUUGAUGCUUGCUUUAGACUCGGUACUUACUCCCACCACAUGUCAUCGGCUGAGUAUGAAAUUUUUCCACUGUGUUGCUGUUGCUCAUGAAGCCUCUGAGUAUGACUGGUUUAGUCUUGUCCUUGAACAAUUGUUGCAUGCUGUUGGAAGCUUUAGUAAACGGUUCUACGCAGAUGGUUAUGCUAGAGGAUGUGGUGGAUGCUUAAUAUUUCUGGCAAUCUUUUACCUAGAUCGACUUAAGAGACCGCCUGUUAAUUGGGGUGUGUUUCCAAGAAUGAGGGUAUGGACAAUAGAAGAGAUGAACAAGGCACAAAAUCUGGAUCGUCUUCCAUCCCGGGAUUAUGGGUGUGUAGGGGAACUCGUGAGUGAUCCGUAGCAGGAUCAAACUAAUCUAUGUGUGAGGUGUUCUUUAAUCAAGUUUUCAGGAACUUGAUGUGAUGAUGUGACAUGCUUGCAUACGGGAUUAAUGGAGAGUUCACUAGUUAGGAUUUAUUUUUCUAAGUUGGUUUCAUUUGUGAGUUCAGAUUUUAGUAUUUUAAUUUCAAGGGUUUAUUCAAUAUACACUA